GUUUUACCAUCUAUAAUUGCAAUACGGGUCUCUGUCACUUAGUGUCUAUGUUGUGUGUUUUACCUAAUUGUUUUUUUUAGAUUUUAUCAUGUUUUUGUUCAAUUCUUUAUCUAUUAUGAAUUGUAUCAGUUGAAUUUUAAGUUAUAAUUUAUUGAACAUAUAUUUUUUUUUGUCUUCUAAUUGUACAGUUUUAUACCAGUGAAUUUUUUUUAAAAAAAAUCAUGUGAUUAUAGAAUAUAUGACAUAUAUUUAUGAAAUUUUUAGAAAAAAAAAAAAGAAAUGUUAAGUAUAUAUCAUUUUCAGUCACAUUAGAAUCCUGAUAAUACAUUAUUUCUACGGCUUCUACUUCACUAAACUGAUGAUCACAUUGGAUACUACCUUUUCUUUUCUUUUUAACUUAAUAGUUUUAAUGCUUUUCGAGUUUGGCAAACAUUUUUUUCAAAAAUUGGGUAGGAUUCGAUGGCCAGAUUGAUACAAUCUUUGUACGGCCGAAACGCUUCCCCACCGUUAAUCAAGCAACUAAACUUCACUUAAUCCAAGGAAAAGAAGAAAAGCAAAAAGUAAAAGCCAAAAGAAAAAUUAUUCAAUUGAUUGGUCAAACACUAACGUUGACAAUAAAGCAUUUUUCUUUUAACUCUCUACCAUUGAUUUUUUAUUCCAACCCAUCCUUACAGCUUUUUGUUAUUGUUGUUUUCUAAAACAGAACCUCAUAAUAUCAGACAUAUUGGGACUCCGAAAGUUCAACCUUCAGCGCGAAAAAAUCCUUCUUGUUUCCAUUAUGUUCAUUUUGUUAUAGAUAGAGGCAUCGGUGCUUGAAUUUUGAAUGCAUAAGCACGAACCAUAAAGUUCAAUCAAGAUAUGAGGAGAAUUUUCUUUUUCUUUUUCUUUUAUCUUUGCUUUUCUGUUUUUCCUUUGUUGAUGGCGCCAAACGUAGUCUUAAAGUAUAUUAGAUACAUCUGGUGAUCAACAUUCAAUUACAAUAAAGAGUAUAGAUAGAUACAUCAAUACUAUCCAGCCCUCUUUCAUGAUGAUGUUGCAAGUUUUGCACUCCACCCCCAUAUUAUUAUGAAGAGGAGAAAUUCCUGUUACAACAUUAAUUGAGCUUUAUUUUCUAAGAAAUGACUUCUAACAUUAAUAAAUUUGAAUCAAUUUAUAGCUAUUUCUCGUACUCUUUCGUAGUAUAGCUUUCUUUUUAAGCUAAAACAGGAGAUGAUUAUAAGACGUGAAGUUGUCUUAAGAUUAACAAGGCAGUUAGAUGCAUUUAAAUUGGUAUUUAAGGAUAUGUCUGUAUAUAACUAGAACUAAUUAAGAUUACAAUACACUGCAAAAUGAUUCCACCUUUUUUUUUUUUUUUUGGUUCUCUCUUUUAUAUGAUCAAAUACAAUGUUGAUAUGAACAAGGUUUUGCAGUUGUAGAAAAUCGUGGAGGACUUUUUUUUAAAAAAAAGAAAGAUAAAAUUCAUAAAAAAAUGUGAAGUUAAGCAUAUUUAGUGAUGGGUGGGGUAUGGGGUGGUUUGCUAACAUGGAAUGCGCAUGGCAGAUUGGCACUUUAAAGAAGGGAUGGGGCCGAGGGGGCGGGAGUUGUUAAAUCCUCGGCGUAGAAAAAGGUCAGUAAGCGUGUCCCUGGCAUUAGACAAGGAGAGGGGGUAGCGCAUGCACAGCCCAACUAUAUCUCUUUAUUUUAUGUCCCACUCCACUCCCCCUCAUCUCUGCCGCAACAUUAAAUACCUUAUGCAUCCUUACUAUUCAUAAUGGUUUUUUGUUGGGUUGAUGUUACAAAAUUAAAUUUUUUAUUAUAGAUGUAUUAAUAUUUUUAAAAAUAUAUAAGAUUUUUUUUAAGUAGGAGUUUAAUCUUUGGUGGUGAUGUUGAUUUUAGAUAUAUUCCCCACCCGCAAGUAGAUAUCAUACAUUCUAAUAUAAUUAAAAAAAAAGUAUAACUAAAAUAUUUUUUAUAUAUUUUUUAUAUUUUUUGAAUUUUUAAAUUUUAAAAAAUUAAUUAAAUGUUCAUGUGUCAUCUACAUGUAUGCAACGUUAGCGAAGUUUAAAAUAUAUUAAUUUUUUCAUUCGUGAUUUGAAAAAAAAAGGUAAGUUUAAAGGUUAAAAAAGCAUAAAUUUAAAUAAAUAGUUAAAAUAAUUUUUUUUAUAAAGUUAGAGAAUUAAAUAAAUUAUUAUUUUAUUUAAAAAUAAUUUUCAAUAAAUUACUAAUUUAGUCACAUAAUCUAAUAUAAUUUAAAAAAUAAUUAUUAACAUUUUAAUUUGUAUGAAUUCUUGUUAUGUAUGGAUUCUUGUUAUGUAUGGAUUCAAACCCGUUCGUUCCAUCAACAAAUUGAUCUGCAUGAGACUUAAGGGUUAGAAUUUUGUGUAACCCUUUUUCCUCCUAAUUUUUACUUUUAAAAAGAAAUUGCAAUACAAUUUUUUUUUAUAGAAUUCUCCUAUUUUUAUUUAUUUAUUUGCUUAGGAAGUUUUACUGACACUGCUUUUAUUUUUCCAUUAAUCAAAUUUAAGAGACAAUUCACUUUUUAUAAUUAACAAAAAAAAAAAAAAGAAAAUAAAAGAAAUUACUUUUUUCUUUUUCGUGUUCGAUACAAGAUAGAUGAAAUAUGAAAAAUAAAAUGAAAUGAAAAUAUAUUACUAGUUAUAUAUCACCUCCAUUAUGUAGGGGAAAGAAAUAAAAAUAAUAUUAAUUUAUGAUACUUCCAUAAUGUGGUUAAAAAUAAUUAUCUAGUAUUUUUUUGUAAAAAAAAAAGUUGAUAUCUAUGCUACUAAUGAGGUUUCUUAGUGAGUUUGUUACUACUAAUAAAGUUUAUUUGCAUGGUUGAGACCUUAUGCUUUUCAAAUACCCAUAUUUGAAUUUUAAAAAUUGUUGAAUUUUUAUUAUAUUUAAAAAACAAGUUAUUUAUAUAACUAGUAAUGUAUUAUUUUGACUUUUUUUUUAAUCGAGUUAAUGUUGGUUAUUUCGUUAUACCAAUUCAAUAAAAUAUUUUAUUUAUAUUAAAUUAUAGCAUACUCACGAUGUGGGUGAAGUAAAAUUAUUUAACAAAUAUAUUUUGAAAAAUUGAUAAAAAUACUAAAUGAGGUUUUGGUUAAAUAGUAAGAUAUAAUUAUUACAAAUUAUAAAUAUGUAGGUUCAAAAUCUAUCAUGUGUAUAUUUGUACUAUUAUUCUAUAUAAAUUGAUAACCUUAUAAAAGUAUCUAAUUUAGUUUAUGGUUGAUUGAUCGAUAAUACCAAAUUUAUUAAAAAUUAAUAUUAGUAAAGAUAUAUAGUACAAAACUAAACAUAAAAUUUUAUAUGUUAAGGAAAUAGCGGAAAAAAUAUCAUAUUUGUAGAACUGUUUAGCAGUGUGGGAGAAUGUGAUCAUUACAAGGAAAAAUGAAAUAUAUAUCAUUAAUAACAAACAUAAAAGAAAGCGUCUUUUGAUAAAGUUGUUAUUGGUGUAAUGUGAAGGGACCACAAUCAUCACCAUUCACCACUUGCUCCUAAUUGAGUUGAAAUCUUUUUACAACAUAGAAAACUAGAAGAUCGCCCUUUCUUGCUUCCUAUAUAUAGAUUUUGUAUCAUCGCAAUUUCACAUCACACACACAAGUAAAGCAUUAGCAACCAUAGCCAUGGCUUCCUCACCAAAACUCUUCUCUAUGUCUAUCCUCUUCCUUUUUGCCCUCUUCUCCAUGCAAAUCCAUGCUAGAGAGUACUUCAGCAAAUUCCCAAGAGUUAACAUCAAUGAGAAAGAGACAACAACCAGAGAGCAAAAGCACGAGACCUUCGUUCCCCAGACCACCCAAAAGCCAGAAGAACAAGAGCCAAGGUUCAUCCCUGAAACCCAAAAUGGUUAUGGCCUUUACGGCCACGAGUCAGGCUCAGGCUCAAGCCGGCCCAGUUUCACCACCAAAGAAACCUAUGAACCCUAUGUCACCCCUGUUAGAUUCCACCCUGAUGAGCCCUAUAACAGCAUCCCCGAAUCCUCCAACAAUAAAGACACUUACUACUACAACAAGAAUGCCUACGAGUCCACUAAGCAGCAAAACUUGGGCGAGGCCAUUUUCACCGAGAAAGGAUGGAGCACCAAGGAAAACCAGAACAACAACUACUACAACGGCAACAAUGGUUACAACAAUGGCGAGAAGCAAGGCAUGAGCGAUACUAGGUACUUGGAGAAUGGAAAGUACUACUAUGACGUCAAGAGUGAGAACAACUAUUAUCCAAACCGGUUCGACAACUCAAGAGGAGUUGCUUCGAGGAACCAGUUCAAUGAGAAUCGUUACAACAACAUGGGAAGGUACCACCAGAACCAAGAGGAGUUCGAGGAAAGCGAGGAAGAGUUCGAACCCUGAUCACCUGUCGUACAGUAUUUCUACAUUUGAUGUGUGAUUUGUGAAGAACAUCAAACAAAACAAGCACUGGCUUUAAUAUGAUGAUAAGUAUUAUGGUAAUUAAUUAAUUGGCAAAAACAACAAUGAAGCUAAAAUUUUAUUUAUUGAGCCUUGCGGUUAAUUUCUUGUGAUGAUCUUUUUUUAUUUUCUAAUUAUAUAUAGUUUCCUUUGCUUUGAAAUGCUAAAGGUUUGAGAGAGUUAUGCUCUUUUUUUCUUCCUCUUUCUUUUUUAACUUUAUCAUACAAAUUUUGAAUAAAAAUGUGAGUACAUUGUAACACUAGCUGUCUAUAUUCCCCUACCGAAAAAAUCUACUUAAAAGAUCAGUAAAAAACGCAAAGAGAAUGAAAAUGAAAUACAACAAUUCUUUAGCUUUUCUAUAUAUUAACAUUGAUGUUCCAUGCAUACAAGGACAAUAAUCAUGACAGCCUCAAAAUGAUUGGAUUUUUUUAAUGAUCUUGUUUUGUAGUCGAUGAUCCCCCUUCACCAAACCAUGCACGCGUAUAUAAAAGAAUCUAAUUAAUUAAAAAGUUAAUUUUGAACAAGUUAGGGAGGUCUUGUUGGUGAAAACAUAGAGCUGAUAGGAUUGGAACAAUGAUUAUAUAUGGCGUCUCGUAUGCAUCUAGCUCAUAGAUCAUAUGCAUAAAAACGAGUUCUCAAUAGUCAUAAACCAAAUAAAAGUGUGUAGCUUGCUAGUUGUGUACCACUUCCAUGUGAUGAUAUAAAUGGCCCCCUCCUUCAUCACUAUCUUUGCAAGUGAUAGCAUCAUGCUUUGAGGUCAACAGUUGAGCACUUCUGAAGAUAAAUUUUUCUCUAACAAUGAAAUUUUUUCGUUACUUUUAAUUAAUUUUUUAUUAAUAAAAAUCAAUGGAAUUAAUCAAUAUAAUUUUAAUUAGUUCAAAUAAAUCUGUUGGCUAAAUAAUAAAUUCAAUCGUACCAAGUUAUAGUUUGGGUUGAGAGUAAAGUUCAUUUCUUAACCAUAUCAGGCUCGUAGUACUAUUUAUUGGAACAUUAAUUAAGAAAGGUAAUCCUAGUCGAUCAAGUUAAUGGUCAAGAGUUAAGUAUGCUAGUUGGUAAACAACAAGCAACGUAAAAUAAGUAGGACCACCUUAGCCAUUAAAGUAAAAGCAGGUAAUCAAUUUAAAAUAUAUAAUCAAAAAAAUAAUAAAAAAGAGAGAGGAAAAUGAUGAAUUUCAAUUGGAUUAUCCGUGAAUGCCGGAUAGACUGUGGUUUGUCUCUUCUUUUUUUCAACUUUAUUUGUGUUCUCAAGCUUUAGCCUUUAGAGACCCUCAAGUCUCUUUGACUUGUAUAUGUACACAUAUGAACUCAAUGAAUCCAAAGACUUGUAUAUCUUGUAGGUGUAUAUCAUAUGUUAUGUCAGUGUAGAAUGUUUAUAAUAUUAUAGAUAACUGCUAGGGUUAGUUUCUGUCGACUCUUAACAAAAUGAAGAUAAUGAUAAGAAGUUAAAGUUGGAGACCGGCAAACCCAACUAAAUGGGACCGGAGAGGGUGCUCUACCAGAAUAAUGUGUGGGUACUGAAUACAGUGUCUUUUUAUAUGGAACCCCAUUUCAACAAGGGAAGAAUUUAUUGACCCCCAAAAAUAGGAGCAAAAUAAUUGUGGGAGUACUCAUCAUGCUGGGUAUUGAAUGGUUCUAAUUUAAAAAAAAAAAAUUGGACCAUUUGGAGGGAUAUAAUAUUAGUGAUACUGAUCCAGUUUUUUAUUUGUCUCUGAAUAACUCUCCUCCCAUAUCUUUGUAAAAAAAUAAUAGCAGUACCAUAAAUUUAACAAAUAGAUAGAUAAUUACAUUCAUCAAUUCAGGAUAAUUGGUGAUCAAAUCUGAACAAUGCAUCUCUUACUCUCCAACAUUGCCUCCAAUCUUUUCAUCCCGAAACAUUUUUCGAGUGUUGACAUGCAAAUAUUAUAACUAAGUUCCAUUGGAGAAAGAUAAAGAACAAUGGCCCAAAUGGCCAGGUAUACUUCGACCACAGGACCUACUAGCAUCAGUACCCAUCUUUUUUGGGCCUUUAAACAUCCUUAUUGCCCAACUAACAUUUUAUUUAUAAAAGGCUUUUAAUAAAAAAAAUUUAAAUGUUGAUAGACAGUUCACCACUGGGUAUAUAUGUCUUGUUUUAGUUGGUGUGAUGACGAACAUUUAUGAUUUUUUGUUUACGUGUAAUUUAAGUAAUUAAAAAUUUAAACCUAAAUUUUAAAAAAUAUUCUAUAUUUUAGAAUAAUUUUAAAACUUCAAAAGAUAAUGCCACCAAUAACAAAUUAUGAAAAAGAAAAUUCCAAUUCAGGUCUUUGUCGAGUUUCUACUUUUUACUAUUUUCUUGAUCUUUCAUUUGGGACAAAAAUCAUAAAAGCUAAUUAAUUUGCAAAUCACGGUUGAUUUUCCUUUUUUUUCUUAAUCACCAAAAUGAAAUUCAGAAAUUGCGCAGAAUUUAUCUAAUUUUCUUUUAGGAUACUGUAUUUCAAAAAUAAAUUAUUGAAUGUUUUCUAAAGUGAUAAAGUAGGUCAUUAUCUCUUUCUUUCUUUCUUUUUUUAAUUUCAAAUAAAUUGACUUCAAAAUUUAUUAUCUAACACAUUGAAAACUUCCAAUAGCUUUAUUAUGUAUAUUUUUAAUGUAAAACUUCCUAGUUUAAUUUUAAUAUGUAGUUCUAUAUUCUAUUCCUUUUUUAUAACAACUUCAAGAUUUAUGCUUAGUUUACUAUACAUUUGGGAAUUUUAUUUUAUUUUAUUUGUAUAUUUUUAUUAUACAUUUUAAGAAAGGCCUAACCAAACUGAAUUAUUCCACUUUUUCUAUUAUUCUUUUCCUGAAUAGUCUGGGAGUGGAUGCUGGCACUUACUUUUGGGAGGCUUAAGAAUUUUGAGCUUUUUAAUGAGAAUUUCUAAAUAUUUAAUUAAAAUUUUAAAAAAUUUCCAGAAACUUGAUGAAAAUGUAGAAAAAAAUUUGAGAGCUAUUAGGGUCCACCUCUGUGAAUAUUCCACUUUAAUCUAAUUUGGACAAAAAGAAAUUCCAACAUCUUACAAGGAGCGCCACGUAUCCUUUUCUCCAUGCGGGCGGUUCAACAAUCAACAAUAGGAGGAGUUCAAAUCUUUUAUAUACGUUUCGUCUCAAAACGCAAAAGUCAACAUGUAAAACGCCUUUCAAUUUCCCAAGCGAUUUGUUUAUGACACCUCCUCCAUUAAUCCCCAUCUUGUAAAACUAAGCACACAGACUGCAAAAACAAACAAAACCAGCGGAGUUUUAAUUAAUUUCUGAAUCCCACCUUCAAUCUUUUUGGUUUGGUACUAUUAAUGUCUGAAAUUUUCGAGCUGGAAUCAUUAACGUGAAAGUUAAAUAACAAAUCAAGAAAGAAAGCAGAGGGUGUGAAGUUAAUGAUUCUAACAACCCUGAAAUUGAUUGAUUUCAACUUUUUAACUCCAAAUUACUCUGUGCUUUUAAGUUUGUUUGCUGAAAACAAUGUUACAAAUGAACUUUCCCCCUGAAAUAUGAACCAUUACCCUUUUUUUUUAGGUCUUAUAUUCCUGUCAUGAACUGUCUCUCUUUAAGUUUUCACCUGUCACCAAUGCCUGCCCAUUUACUUCUAAAUUAAACACCCCUGAACUUAAAUUUAAAGGAAAUUAAUCAAUCAAUGCCAUACUUUAAAAAAUUUGGGUGACAAGUAAAGAACCCUUUUUUCUUUUUUGUUAUUUAAUGCUGUUGGUUCCUUUCAGAAUGCAGUUGUUCUAAUUCGAGGGGAAGUAAAUGCAGGUUUAAGUGAAGUAUGAAUUGUACAAAAUUCAUCAAUUUCUGUAAAUUUGUAUACCCCCCCCCAAAAAAAAUGUUGAACAGAGUAAGUUGCAUCAAAUAGAAAAUGUGUUAUAGUUAUGAAUAGACAAGCCAACAAGAAUCCCAUUUUCUUUUGUUUUCUAGCUUGUUUAGAUAGUAUGAUUACUCCAUUUGUGUGAACCUAAUGAAAUAUUGAAACAAACCCAUUUCUUUUCUCUUGAAACGAAAGAAACUUAAAUGUAAUAUGAGAAUAGGAGGCUAACAGCUUUGAUUCUCUUGCUGUCUUCAAAGAUUUCGAUUACUCGUUUUGUUUGAGUAAUCAUUUAGCAGAAAACAGAGUUGAGUAUCACCUCCUCCAAUUCCCUAUAUAUGAGGUGUCCCGUUUCUUUAAUGCAUGGGAGGAAGAACUGUUAGCCAAAUUCUAUUCAUGAUAAGACAUAUCAUAUUAAGAAAUAAGUACAUAAUUAUUCAUGAUAAGACAUACCUUUGCUGGUCCAUAGAUUAAAAAGAAAAUGAGAUUUUUGAAAUAUGGCGGUAAGUUGAUGGUGAAAGUGUUGUUGUUCAAUGUCUAAACGGGUGUGAUUAUGUGACCAAAUUAAGAUAAUGAAAUAGAAAAUUGGUUAUAUUAAUCAACUCUCUCUUGUGAUUUGCAAAGCUGAAACUCCUCUCCCCUGGGACCCAUAUCAUUAAUUGUUCCUUGUUUAAGGAAGAAUCUGUCAGAUGAGCCAAUCCAAGACAGGCGCUCUUAUUGACCACCUCUUGUACUUUUAACACUAGCAGCGAUUUUGUGUUCCGGUUGCGAUAUCUUGUGAUCCUCAUCUUCAUUUGUUCACUUGCCAUUUUCGUUUCAUUUGUUUCUUGCUGUUGGAGCUCUCAACCCAUGGCUGCUGAGGUAAAUAAUUCUUCUUCUUAUUGGUUGUUUUCUGUUGAUCAUGAAUGUGAACCAUUUUUUUUCGUGAAUUUAUGUUUUGAUUUUCUGGUAACCAAGAAUCGGUUUCUGGGUUUUAGUUCCUUUAUGUUCUUGGUUUCUUGCUCAUAUAUUUGGUGGUUGGGAAUAGUAACUGAAAGAUUUUGGCCCCUGGUUAUGCUGAAUGUCACCGCUGUCGCGGUAAUAGUAACUUGCUGUUUACUAAUGAUAGAAUAAUCUAAAUUUGAAAGCUUUUCACAAUUCAUACUAUUUUCUUUGGAGACUUAAAAGUGUUAUCAUGGCUUUUUCCUCUUCCUGAUUCAUGGGUUUCUAGAGAGAACCUAAUUGAGGUAUGCUUAAAAUUAUGGUGUUUUAAGUAGAAUUACAACCAGGACUUUAUCUCAGUGCCUUUCUCUGGUUAGCACUUACUGAUCUGUGCCGACAGUCUUCUCUGGUUACCACUUACUGUGUCGUUGGUCGUAGCUUAGAUUUUAAUCCAUUCUUUUGAUGUUCUUACAGCAUCAAAUGUAGUCAAAACAGAAAAAAUCUCCGGACCCUGUGUUUAUUACGUAUCUAGUUAGAAAUUAAAUUUGUUAGCAUUUGAUGCAAGAGAAAAGGGAUGAUGAAUGUUCAUUUGAUAUUAACUAGCAUGUUUGAUUACAAAGGAAGGUCCUUAAGUAACAUUGAUGCCUCUGUUUCAUCAGAAUGGGCUCUUUGGCUUGUGUUUGAAGGGUGAAACUGACAUUUAUGAUUUAUGUGUGAUAAGGAAUUUGACACUAAAAUAUCAUAAAAAACUUUUCGAGUUUGCUAUCCCCCGCAUGGCUUUUGCCAAACUUCCUUUGUUCAAUCUCUUUCAGUAUUUUGAAUCGAUCACCUUUUCCCCAGAAUCAUGAAACGUCCAAUGGUUGGCCACUUGGGCUACAGAUAAUGAAUAUGAGGCUUGGGUUACAACAAAGGUUACAGGCUGCGGCUCCAGCUGUGGAACCAUACUUUUUGCACAUUCCCUCUAGCAGUUUUUCCUCAUUCUCCUCUUCCAACCUUGACACCGAGGUAACCAACCUUUUCUUUCCCCAUUUGCUGGCUCAACAUUCAAGCCUUGCAACAAAUAUAUAUAUAUUUAUUUACCAAUACAUGCUAUUUCUUGCAUUGCUGCCAGUCCUCAGCAUCAUUUUUCCAAGAUAACAGCGUAUCCCUGGGGAAGCUAAUUGGAUAUGGACCAGGUGAAAGAGAAUCGUUGUAUUUACAGAACUCAAUCCAUACUGAUCAAAGCUGUAGGCUACCUGUAAGAGGUGCCUGCAACUGCAAGAAUAAAGGACGCAGUGCAGAUGCGUCUCACUCUCAGGGGAUUUGUAUUCCUCUCCUACUUGGAGCUCUACUAAAGAUUACCGGAAACAAGAUCAAGUCAAGGCGAUUGGAAUGAAUUCCAUUCCUCUUCUACCAAAUUCUUUUCUCCUGUGUUUCAUAAGUUAGUCAUUAAUACUGCCGUUAACCGUCCAACAGCACUAUCCAAUUAACAUAGGAGUUUGAGAAACUGGAAACUCGAAUGUUAUUUUCAUUUUAAGAUGAUCAAGUUCGACAUUGAUUUCAGGCAAAUGAUUCAAAAACAAAAGGCUAGCUAUGUUCUUGCUUAGCACAAAUGUUUGCGUUUUGCCUUUUGUUCCAGAAAGCAAUGGCUUCCUCAAAUCACCACACAAUCCAAGUAAAACCAGAAUGCCAAAGGUUCAAAUGAAUACCAUUAAGCUCGACAUCACUUGGAAGCAAAUAUUUGAAGAACAAACGAGAUUCAAUAAAGCAUUUAAAGCAACGAACAACUCGAUUUAGAAAGAUCUUACUAUCAACACUUAAAUUUCCAGAAGCAAUUUGUUCACUAGAAAGCAGUCUUGUACAUAUUCCACUAGUACUUAACCUAGACCAUUAGAUGUUAAAAAGUAUGAUGCAGAAGACCAACCAUCAGCAAGAUUUUGUAUACCAAACCCAACACGUUCACAAUGAAAAUUGUACCAUAAUAGCAUCUCGCCAACAUUAUGAAGAGUAAACCAGAAUCAUCGGGCCAAUCCAUAAGAACUCUUUCGGUAUCCAGCAGCUUAGGUCUCAGCAAUCUCGUCAUUUUCAAGCACACUAACCAACUCAUACUCGACAAGAGAUAGAUUGUUAUCCUCUUUAACAACAAAGUUGGCAGGGUCAGUGACCUCGAUGCGGCCCCAUUUGUCGACAGCCAGCCUCAUAGAACCCUUAAACAUAUCAAUCUUCGCAUUACGAAGAAUUACAGUGUCAUCGGGCUUCAUCAAGUCAACUGCAAAAUGAUUAAAGCAUCAUCAUGGAGUUUAAGACUGAGCAGUUUAAAUGAAUAACCUCUGUAAAAGUGAAAACCAAAAACCAAAGCAAAAUACAUUCACAAUUUUUGCAAUUGUGAGAACGCGACAAUUUCACAGAUAGGCCAUCAAGUUUUACUAUGAUUAACAAAUUAAGGAUUUGAACGCCAAUUAAAUCCAAUGUUUGGUUCUUGAUUAAUUUACCAUAUCUCUUCGAGAGUUUCUUAAAAAGUUUCAUAUUGAGAAAUAGAAUUAAAAACAUUAACAACAUGGCAAAUCAAGGAUUAAUCAAGAAACUCAAUUCGUGUAACAUCGCAAUACUAAAUAAACCUUAAUUAACAGCUAGAUCCUAGAUCAUAUCAAAUCCACACUAGCACCAACAAAACAACGAACAAAAAAUAAAAGCUUCUGAAUGCCACUGUGUUUCACAUAAACAAGCCAAAAAAAAAAUAAGAAGAACGGAAAGAUCAUAGCUUUUGGAAUUAAGGAUGAAAUAAAACGUACCCUUUUGAGAGAAAUUAAGAUCCGAUCGGUAGAGCAUAAAACUUUUUUUAAGAAACAGAAAAAAAAAAAGGAAGGGUUAGAAAAUUGGACCUUGUUCAUUACGAGCAGUGAAGAGGACAGUGCCGGUCUCGUCUCCAACAAGGCACUCAGCGAUGCGGGUUUGGCGGAGAUUUCGAGAAGCGGCUCGACCCUUUUGAAGGACCAUGUUAGAGGACAAUACCUUGGCGACUAAGGUGUGGCCUUUGGUCCCUGGUUUUAGCUGAUCUACUUUCACAAACACUGGCUUUCUCUUCUCCGUCGUUUUAUUUUGUUGUUGCUGCUGCUGCUGCUGUUGUCCUUGUCGUUUUGGCUGCCCUGUCGUCGCCAUUGUUUCAAAUUGACAAAACCUCUUCUCUUCUCUUCUCUUCUCUUCUCUUCUCUGCUUUUCUUACUUUUUUCAGAGCUUGUGGGAGAAAGAGAAAUGGGGUAGCCCUAGAAGUAGAACAGAAAUUGAAGCAUUCCUGCUUUUCUCUCGAUGGGCAAGUAAACGAUGGCGUUUUAGCCACUUUAAAAAGAUUGACUUUGAAGCCAUUUUUCUUUCCAUGGAUUUGUCUUAAUAUUUAUUUCUAAAAUACAACUAAUGAAAAUGACUCUACAAAUCCUUUUUUACAUGAUUGAUGAAAAUAAUCAAUUAUGGUAUUUUCCAUCAAUAAUUAAACGUUAUUGUUUCUACGAAUAACUGCAACUUUUUCAUUCUUGAAAUAUGGAAGUGGGUAUGGCAUGAAUUAUGAAACAAUCCAACACCCAAUACUCCUCUGAAUAAUAAUCAGCAAUCAUCAUUUUAUUACAUAAUUAUCAGUUAUCUGUCGCUUUAAGAUCAAAGUCCAAUUAUGAGCAUUUAGAGGGUGCUCUGCUCCUGUCCUGUGCCAAGAAAAACACUGCAUUCAUAUUCAUUUGUCGAAUGAAUGGCCUUUGGCCAAGUGAUAUAUCUAUCCAUUAUUCAAGGUAAUAAUUCAAAUAAAUGAUGUACAGUAUAUGAUAACAUUUACUUACAGAGCGAUACAAAUAAUGCGAAAAUUUCUCACAUCAACAUCAGACUUUCUUCUGAAAUAACUGUUAGCAAUGAAUACUUAGCUUUGAUCGAAAUUCUGCCACCUUCUACACAGAGUUUGGCUCCAGUUACCACCCAAUAUCCAGGUGUAUCCUGAGGUCCUCUAACUAUCUCCUUUGUGUCCACGAAGUUUGUCAUUUUGGGUGCUUUGGUUGGUGAAGGUGGACCACCUGGAAAAACUGCUGAAUUUAAGUCCACUUUGGUCGGCUUCUCAUUUGGAUUCAGUCCUGAACUGAACCUCGUGCUGAUCAACAUUGAGAACAUUCCAGAUUUCCGUGACAAUGUUGAGGGUCCAUCCCAUUCUGAUCUACGAAGCCUAGCAGAGGCCACCAUGGAGAACCCAAGCCUCAGGAACAGAACUUUCCUCAUCCCAAGAACCUUCACCUCGAACCAAGCUUUGGUCACGAUAGGAGCAGUACAUUCAAAGUGGGUUCCGUUGUAGUGUACAGGGGCAGUGCAUACAUGCGAGAAUAUGCUCCACUUGACAGGUUCCAAAUACCCACGUUCGGGCUCAUCGAUCGACUCAUAGCUGUGAUCAUCUGAGAGCGGGAGGAUUGUAGGGAGGGUUGAGAGAUGCUGGAGAUGGAUUGCUAGAUGGUCACUCUUCUUACCCUCCAAAUAUAGGCGUAUUCCUGUCACCGGUCGUUUUCCAGUAUCAACCUGCAAUUACGGAUUUGGAACUUGAGAAUCGGGGAAAUAAGAAUAGUAAUCACAUGCAUGAGUUAUGCAGAUUAUUUUUGCAAUUAUAGCCAUUUUAAUCCAUGGCAAUUAUCCUGCAACAUCAUUAUUUUGGUUCUAACAAAAUUAUUUGACCCCAUUUUAGUGUUACAUUGGUAAAAAAGGGAAACCAGUCGAUUGUAUUAUGAGCUCAAAAAGCAAGCACUUUAUCAGCAUGCUCAGAAGCUUAGAUGACAUUAAAUAAAACGACAAGUCAAUCAACAAUCCAAAAUCAACACUGCAUCUACAAUGGUAAAAAUGUUAAGCAUGGCUAAGCAAGCAGUCCACCAUGGAGUUCAUGUAGAGUUGAUGAGGAAUUCGGGUAGAUGCAUUUAUAAAUUUUCAGACACAAUCAUUCCAAGUAUCAACUAUUACGGAACUUCACUUAAGCAGCAAACAAUCAUAAAUAACUACUAAAAUGUCAAAAGAAAUGGCGCAAGUAAAACUGUGUGCUGCGAAAUGAUACCCGUGCAGUAUUAACAUAAAGCUUAGGCCCCAUAAAAGUGAACUGAAGUGAUGGGGAUGAUUGUUUUCUGUGCUUGAGACCAAGAGGCAGAUCACUGUACACGGGAGCCCAUUGUCGAGGUAUUUGAAAUUCGAGAAAUACAUGGAGUUCCUCUAUCGGUGGUUUAUCUGCAUGAUAUUAACAAUCAUUAGAAGCCAAAAUCAGAGCACACAUAAGCACCAUAUGAACAAAGAAGGAUGCAGUUAUAUGAUUUGCGAAAACAAUGAGCUUUCAUAUACACCAACAUUCAUUCAAAAUGAAACAACUAGGAAAUCACUGUCCGCAAAAACUUUGAAUUUAAUGUACCUUAUAAUUUAUUAUAGAUCUUCAAGGAGCAUCAUUUUUUACAAGAGUAGUACAAUGUGCCAAAGUAUGAAUAAAUUGUAAUUCAAAAUAAAAAUAUUGCAUUUGUGAAGUAUUAAUAUGUAAAUGAACUAAUUAAACCCCAGCUGACAGGGAAAAAUCCAGUUUACAGAAAUUGCCCUUAUGUAAUCUAGUGCCAUCAAGACAUUUAGCCUCGGAAAAAACCAAACUAAUGGUAUAACAAGUAUGCAAACUCACAUCGUAGGUACAAGUUCACUGCAUGGCUUAAAAAUCCAUUUCCCCGGGCACAGCUCAGUAGAGAAGUAAUAGGCACAAGGGACAUUGAUAUCACAUUCGGUGACUGCGAUAUUGUUGACAGCCACUGGCUAUGACUUUGACCGAAAUCAAUGCCUCCCCUACGAAUAUAGAUAUUCAUAAUGUCCUGCAACAAGUACAAAAAUCAAAUGGAGUCGUCACCUCUACUAAAAGCGGGUUGCAGGUGCAAUUCCUAAACAACAGUUAAAAUAAAAACCAUCGAACUUACAUUAUUCUUUGAGCAAGUGACAACAGGUGGCCUCAUUGAUCCAGCGAGCACCCCUUGAUGAAGUUGCCCGGGAAUAUAAUGUUCUCCCUAAAGCAAUCGAUGGAAACAAAUUAGUGAGAAACAAUUAUUUCCAAAGCCUUGCCAACAGUGUUCUUCCAUGAACUAAUAUGUAGAAGAGGUCAAGUAAUAAUUAGUUUGAAUUGUAAUCCUUCUAUCUCGUAUAUGGCAGUAUCGUUACCUUGAUUACUUAUUGCCAAGGAAAUUUUACAGUGCAUACUGAACAUUCCCCCCGCAAUUAUCUAAAAACUGUAAUUUUGCCUACCUACCCUAGAAUGCAAAAGUGAAUAGAAUAAUAGGCAUGCACAAUUCAUUCAGAUUUUUAAGAUUAAAUGCACCUUUGGUUUUUCCGAGAAUGGAGAAGUUCCUAUAUUUUCUGAAAAUCUCUCAUCAGCUAAUUGCUUUAAAGUUUUCUGCACUUCAUUGGGCUGAAGAUUUGAAUUUUGUAAUUGUUUUACAUGUAUAACAUCUUUACCUCCCAUUUUAACCCCAACAACAACGUGAGUACCAUAUUUUUCAAUGAACCUGGGAAAAACCAUGAUCAGAACGGGUUUAGUACAAAUUGUCAAUACUACUAACACACACGGUUAAUGUCAAUGGGAGCACUAAAGUUAUAAGUGCAAUUGCUUUGCACAUGUUAUAAUCAGAUUCAUCAAAAACAAAGUAAUCAUAAUUCUUUCCCGGGGAAGUUUUUUACUCCAAAAGGUUACGUAUAUGAAGAACUUACUCAGCAAUGGCAGCAGGGUCCCAUGUAGUAGGCACCUCUUGUUUCACACGCUCGGACAAAGUUAUGUUUGUUCUUUCCAACUCAACAUUGUACAGUGUUAAGAACCAACCAUCAUAGGCAAGACCUUUUGCGGCACAGGCAUCCUUCUGCCAGCAGCCUUUGAACUCGAACAUGGCAUUGAAUAAGCCGGAAGGAAUCUUGCCGGAUAAUGAUAGAUCCCGAUUGAACUUCUCUGACAUCUAGCAUAAAAUGACCUCCAAUUUAAUUUCAAACAAGUCAAGCGAAGUCUAAAGAAAAAAGAAAAAACUCUCCGGGGCUUUCUUUUUCUUCCUGAUUUUCUAUUUUCUAAUCUUGAAGCAUAGCGAUGCCAUUUUGUUAUUUCUUUGUGGACAAGUUUAGUUGCAAAACAACUUCCAAAGAAUAAAGAUAUGCAAGAACCAGCAAAAAGAGCAUAAGCAAGAAAAGAUGAUCAUAGGAGCUCUAUUGAAUACUUUGGAACUUUACAUUAUAAAUAAUACAAAUUGUGGACUCUGAAUAUUGAAGCAUAUUCAAAUUUGCGAAAAUUUUUCCCUCAAAUAGAAAACAAAGCACAAACAAAAAUUAGCAAACAAAAAGCAAAACUUCCCUAUAAUUCUAAUAUUAUUAGUACUAGUAACUCUUUUUUUUUUUUAACAGUACUAAACCUGCAAAAUAAACACAAAUAUACCAAAGGAAAAGGUCAAAAACUUACCUGACUAAAAGAAAGAACAUCAGAACGAAACCUGGUACGCUCGCCUUUAUCAUAUUUAAUCGAAUUGGGGACAUCUUUUACAACAACUCCAUCAGGAAAAACCAGGUCCCGAGUCGCUGCUGAGUCAAGUUCGAUCAAUCUGGAGCCAGAAGGGCCAGGCAGGCAGGCGGAUAGCCUGACAUCCCUGCACAAGUCGAAUCCGAAACCGAUAACUGAAACGGCCUUUUCAGCCGCCGAUUGCGGGUCCAUUUGAUAGAGAUUCCCGGGCAUAGAUUCCUAAUGAGACGGUAGCUGGAGUUGCGUGUGGGUUUUAGUGAAACUGGGUAUGUAUUAUGGGGUAUUACCCACUGCUGAAGAAGGAGAUGGCCCAUUGAAAUGGUCUUCGGUCCGAGUUAUUAUAUCGAUUUUUUAUUUUUAUUUAAAAAAAAAUAUUGCCUGUUUCGGGGGGGAAACACAGAUAUGAAGGUGACGUUGGAAACUAUGACGUUUGACUUGAGAGUUCAGACAGGCAGAAGCUAAUGUAAACAAGGGAAGUUUACCAGUCGGCUGGCGUGGAAACUAACUGAAACUGCAUACUUGUUUCCCGGUGGAAACGUGUUUGGUAUAGUUUGGCUUUUUGAAUGUUCAAAAGAAACUAUAAAUUGAUUAAAAAGAAAAAAGAUUGAAAAGUCAUUAAUAAAGAAGUCAAAUGCAAGGAGCAAAUUUCUUUCGGUACCCUGCGUUACAUAUAGACUUGACUUUGGGGAUGCUUCCGAUGGCGCUUUCAGGAAGUUCAAACGAACUUGUGUCGAGAAUAAUCAAGAUAAGCGUUUUUAACACUCCCAAUUUUCAACUUGUGGAAUAGUUAAUCUAUGAUGGGAUCCAUCUGGUUUUUAACACUCCCAAUUUUCAACUUGUGGAAUAGUUAAUCUAUGAUGGGAUCCAUCUGAGAAAUUUUCACCCCCCUCGAAACUUGGAAUGAGGCAGUCCCUUUCCUAACUAGCUAGUCCCAAUAAAUCAAUAUACUCUUAACGUAAGCUAUAACUAAAAUCCACCCCCCACCCCCCAAAAAAAAAAAUUCACACGCUUGUUAAUAUGUUGGACAGAAGUAUUAAAUUUAAUAAUAAGAGAGCCUGGCCAUGGAUUUUGACGCUCAAGCCUGCCAAAUCUUUUAUAAUCCAAUGAUUUGUAGUAGCUUUAAACUUAAUGAUGGGAUAGAAUGCAGGAUGCUUUAGAUUCUAUUGAUAUUGUAUGUAUUCUUUUAACAACACAGACGUAAAUAUUAUUUGAUUACAUGUAUUGAUUUAACAUCAAGGUUUAAUUCAUUAUCCUUGAUAAUUAGUUUUUUUUAAUUAUAAAAAAAUAAAGUCUAAGUCACAUCUAGAAGGUGAAUACCCUGAUGAUCAGGCUAGCACAAAAAGUUCGAUAAUUGAUAUUAUCAGCAUCCUCAAUAUUUAUUGGUACAUUUUAUUUAUCAAGAGAGUUCUCUUGUAAUUAUAUGAGAGGAAUAUCAAUGAUUAAUUAAUCACAAUAAAUUCACUGAUAAAUUUUACCAAUAUUUGGAUGGAUAUUGAAAAUAGUUUCUGUGAAUAUAAAAACAAUCAUAACAGUGAGAUUAAUUACUUUAGCAAGAUGUUAAAUAACGUAGCAGUAAUAUUAAAAUUAAUAGAUAUAUAUAUAAAUAUUUGGAUUUAAAUGCAAGGAUGAGAUAAUAAUAAUAAUAAUAAAUUAUUAAUUUUUCGUCAACAUAUUAUAAAUAUGCCGUUAUAAAUAAAAUUUUCAAUAAAAUAAAAUAUAUUAAUCCGAUAUAAAAAUAAAUGCAUGUAUUUAUUUGUUAAAAUGUGUUCAAUUGAACCAAAAUCAAAAUUUCACAUACACAUAUGAACCACAAUUCAAGUUUCAUGUGUCUAAUUGCACCAUAUAAAAGUUCAAGUAUCAAAUUGCACAUUAGACCAAAAUUUAUGUAUAAGUUUGAUAUUUAUCUAUUUAUUUUAAUAAUUUUUUACAUUAUUCUAAGUAUAUAAAUAAUUAUUUAUAAAUGUUUGCAUUGAAAUUUAACAAAUAAAAUUUCAAUAACUUCGUUUUAUAAACUUAUAUAAAUAUUUUAGUUAUUUAUUUAUUUUAGAUUGUUGCAGUAGAAAAUAUAAAAGGUUUAAAAAAGAAAAACAUAUAAUUUAAAAGUCCAAUAUUUUUGUCACUAAAGAAAUUAAUAAACUCACUGUCUCCCAUCGGAGACUUGAGCUCCACUGAAAAAUAUGAGAUGAGUUUGCUCAAUCACAGCUCACUAAUAUUAUUCAAACACCAUACGAUGGUUGAUUUGUAAAUUUUUUGUCUUGAAAAUUAAGACAGCUUCAGUUGUAUCCAAAUGGAGCUUGACUGCGUCAUCCCAAGACCUUUUAGGUUUGUUUUUGUCAUCUUUAAGAGUGGUUCUUUCCUUUUCCGUUGCCAAGUCUUAAAAGUGAUCAAAGAGUUGGAGUUUUACUCGCUUGCAUUGCCAAUAAGGUGCUUGACUUCUUUGAUGCUACUUCAAAGUAUGACAUGCAAUAACAUAAAAACAUUUGUUCUUGGUUUUCCGAAUUAAGAACAAGACAGAUAGUGUAUAUAGUUAAAAGAAGUUAAGAUUCGAGUAUUUAGUUAUCCUAUAUAGAAAGCCUUUUCCCAGUGCUCAGCAGAUGUAACCAUAUAUGGUUUCUACUCUAAGCAUGCUCUCUCUCUCUUUUGUCUGCUCUACUUAUAUUCUAUUAUUUGCAAGAAAAAAAACAUUUUUUUUAUCCAUGUAUCCAUAGUAAACGUGUCUUUCUGGGAGCGUUUUGAGAGAGUUUGGCAACAACCGUUGGCCUUAUGAAAUCUUGAUUUUUUCUUUAUAUGCAAAUAUUAAGAUUUCAUUUUAUUCAGCCUUGACCAUCAAAAAAGUUAAUGCGUUCAUCAAUUAAAGCUUUGUUUGCCAAAAACGUCGCUGGGAGUAGUAUUAGCUGAUUCAGACUUGGAUCAAAUUAGCUUUUCAGUGCCCAAGUGCUGAAGUCACACGUUUCUGAUAAAACAGUAAGAACUCCAUCGCUUGCUGUGUUGAGCCUUUUAACAGUUGGAUUCCAUCCGGUAGUGUUUCGACACAAUCGUCAUGCAAGUGCAAAGCAAAUAAAUCUAAUUCAAAUCAACUACUAAUGGCCAACUAGGUGGAAGUACCAAAUCAAUAAAGUAGAUAAUAUUCGCUUAAAUAAAUUUAUCCAAUAUUUGAUAAAGGAGCAUCCUCAAGCAGACAACAAUAGACCUGUGAAAAACUCUUCCUGCACUGACAUGAAAAAAAAAAUCGGGGGAUAACUCGAAAAACAUUAAUGAUUGUUUCAGCCACUCAAGUGCUAUAGUACUGCACUCUUUCCUGCAAAAGAAAUUAAAUUUCAAGGUCAUAUCAUAGAAAUCCUAAGGAUCAACCCAUGCCAAGAUGUGAGAUGAAAGAUCAGCCACCGAGCCAAUUAUAUAACUUCAAAAAAUGUUAGAAGCCUCUUGUGAUUAGAUGAGUUAAUUAUUAGCUUCCUUAGUUGUUCUUGAUUCCGAGAAACUUCAUGGCUAUCUCCCAGGUAACGAUUGCAGCUGCAUUAGCAGGAAAAGCUCUCAGUAUAGUAGGACCCAGGCCUGUGUAGCAUCCUCUAAGUCCAGACAUCCGAUAUAUCUACAAGGCAAGGAAACAAUUAGAAUAUCCUCCUUUCCUUUCAAUAUUAUUUUGAUUGUUAUAAAACCUCCACCAUGCUGCUAUCCAUCUUAUUGUGCUAGGAAAGGCACAUUCAGAUCAUCUUACCGAAUUUAAAACUUGAAACGGAUUUGUCGGAGAGCUUUUAUCUGGAGCGGUCUGGAUAAUGGUUUUUGCCACAUCCAAAGGUAAAACAGUAGACCAGAACUAAGAAAAAACAAAUAAAGAAUAAAAUUAGAUAUAAAUAGACCAUAUCGUAACUCAAAAUUGAAAAAUCAAUAUGCAAGGAUGUCAGAAUGCUUACAGCUACACCACCCAGACCACCACUCAGAAUUCCAAUUCCCAUAUCAACCAAAUUGUUGUGGUCAGAUGAACCAGAUUUUAGUUGUAAGUGCAUAUAAUAACGGACAUAUUCAUACACACUAAAAAAUACUGCAUUUCCAAUAGAUUCCCUUAAAAAUGUUGUAGAGCCACCACGAAAGGCGCCUGUAACCUGUAACCUGAAAGGUGUUCCAUUAGUUUAAAUCACGUACAAAUUAAGUUGCCAAAAGGCAGAGUAUUUCUCACCCCAUCACUUUUUAUGGUUUUUAGUGCGCAAUCAAGAGAACUACUGUAGCCACUGCACUUUGGAACCAAAGAGUCAGUACCUUGAAUUUGCAUCCUACACUGGAGAAGCACAAUGUCAAAAGCAUGCUUUGGGAGAAACAAACAGUGAUCUGCUAUCAAUUAUCAAAGAGCAAGUACUAGCAGGGCAUAGAAACUAAUUCUUACCUUCACUAGCUCUGACGGACAUAGAACAAAACUGAUAAUAGCUCCAGCGAAAGCAGCAGAAGGAAUUAUUACUUGGGGCCGGGGCCUGCUACUCUGAACUCCUCCCUUAAUUGGCACAAAAAAUCUUUUUUUAAAAUAAUUUACAACAUUACAAUGUGUUGGAAACAUGCCUAUGAUAUUAUUAAAACAACCAGUUCCCAAUCUAGUUUCAGCAAUAGGAGUUUCAUGGAUGGGUAUAUCACCUCCAAUUCCCUGAAAUACAAACCUGCAGUGACUGUUUUGUUUGCGAAUAAAUGCCAAAAAGAAGUGAACUUUCAAAAGCCAUCCCAACAAAAGAUGGCGUUGCCCCUAUAUAAAGUCCUCUAACCUGCCAAAGCUAAUUAUGAGUUCUCCAAAAAAGAAAAAAUUCAAAUAUGUCAAGAGUAAGGGAGAGAGUAACAACCAUGUAUAACAUAUACAGCCAAAAAAGUGAACCAAUGAUUUCUAUUCCACAGACAACCUUGUACAUGCCAAAGUAUCCUCUCAACUUAUGUAGUAGACCAAAAUCUUGGUUCUAGAAUUGCAGCUAUAGAUAUUGAGAAUUUGUAAGAAUAUUUCUUUAUUCUUUCUUUUCCCUUUUGGACAUAUACAAAUUGCAAAUUCUCUCUAUCUUCACAGAUUCAUGGAUAACUUCAAUUACUUUUUCCAAUAUUUACAUUUACAUUUUUAGAUUUUAGGACAUUAGCAGCCAAGAUCCAUUGUAGGAAUAAACACAUAACAAGCUUGUCCGUGCAAAAUGUUUAAAUCUGAGACAGCAGAACAUUUAGGUCAUUAUAUCCUACUGAUUCAUUUUGCAUUUGAACAGAAAGAAUCCCUAUAAUCAAAAUCAAUAGGCCUUUGAGUUCAAGAAUGACCAAAAGUCAUAAACAAAUAACAUGAUCUCUUUCCACCGCAUGUAUUUAUCUAGAUGUCAGUGGUCUAAACUCUCAACAAAGGUAGCAUUUGGUAUGAUGGAAAGUAGUCACUUUCCUAGGAAUUUAAUAAGCUGGAAAAUGAUUCCAACGUUUGGUAUGUUAGAUUUUAUUUACUUUUCUUGGAAUCUAACUUUCCCUUAAGAAUUACUUUCCCAUAGACAUGGCAAUAUGAUUCCCAUGAUAAAAAGGUGGGAAAAUUACUUUCCCAUUCCCAUGUAGAUUGAAAAGUUAAAAAAAUAUUAAGACAAAAUUAACCCUAUUUUAUAUUGGAAAAACUAUUGUCUUCUUCCUUUGUCCUACCACUUGAUUUUCUCUAUUACUUCCACCAGAUUCUUCCUACGAUUUUAAUCAAUGCCUUCCAAUGUAUUAACUUCCUCAGUAAUCACAUUCCCAGCAAUCAUAUUCCAGUGAAUCACAUUCCAUUGGAAUCAUAUCAUAGAAAAGCACCAAACGCUACCGACGAGCAAAUUUACAAACAGGGCUCUUGAUGGUGAAAAGAAAAGAACAAAGAUUAAGGAGCAUACCCCUUCAGUUGCGAGUAUCCUAGCAGUGCAAUGGAAGCCAUUCCUAUAUGUAAUCCCCUGCACAUUAGUAUUGUGUUUCUGCAACUUAACCUGACCAAACAACCGUAGAUACAAAAGAAGCUUUACUAAUUGUAAUGUUGUCAACAAAACCAGGAAGCAAUAAAUAGAACUUAUCUUAAAGGAAACUAAUCAACAUUUACAUGUUCCCAAAGAGGAAUUUUUCCGAUUUUUAAAUUCGAUGAUUGAACCCACAUUCCUAGCAACACUAACAACCUAGUUAAUUUGGUAAUUGUUACAACUUAACAAACAUAAUCCUUCAAAAAUUUCCACACCCAUAUCCAAAAAAAAAAAAAAGUUUUAUUUUCCAAAUUUUUUUGGAUGAAAAAUGAAAAAGAAGUUAUACCUUGACAGUAUCGAAGGGGUGACCGACGACCACAGUCGCAACACCGGCGAACAAGCCCGCGACGUACUCUUUGUAACCGGAAGGUUUGCGACUGUCUUCCAUGACCAUGUUUUGGUAAAUGUCUAAAGCCUUCUUUUAGUUUGAAAGUAAAAAGAACAUCGGAGAUUCGGUCCACUCCGCGCCAGAUCCUAUAGUGUGAUUGUGCGAGGGAGAGCUUCAGCGAAAUCCUCGUCAAAAUCUCUACCAUCAAUAAUCUAGAACUAAAUUACUACUAUAUGUUCUAUCUUUUUUUAUUAUUAUUUUAAAUAAAAUAUAUAUUUCAAAUUAAAAAAAAAUCAGUUGAUAAUUCAUUAUGUUUUGUUUUUGUUUUUUAUUCUUUUUAUUAUUUGUAAUCAAAUUUCAUGUAAAAUAUGAUAAAAAAUUUAAACAUAAUUUAAAGUAAAAAUAUGAAAAUAAAAAUACAUGAAAUGAUAUUUUAAUCAUCAAAAUAAAUUUUGUAAUAUUGGAUUUCUUACAUGAAAUAUUAACUUGUUAAUUGAAGUUGUAAACACUAGUAAGGAAGACAAUAAAAGGAAUUUAAGUUCGACAACCAACUUUCCAAAGUCAUCAUUCAAGGAUAAAACCGAGGUUGGAAGUAGAGGUGUGCAUGGCUGAGCUAUUCUGUCUGGCCCGAAAGUCUGCCCGAAAUGUAAGAAGGUUUGGGUAAAAAAUAUAGGCCCAAAAAAUGGGCUUGAACAAAAAAAUAAUGCCCGUUUAAAAAAUGGGUCGGGUCUCGGGCAAGGUAUUUUUAGCCCGGGCCCAGCCCGGCCUGAAUCACUAAAGGACAAAAAAAUCUGUAUAUUUUUUUAUUUUUGAAUGUUAUUUUCUUGUUAUUUUCUCCCUAUUUUGCUACCAUUUUACUAUUAUGUUGCUAUUAUUUUAUUGUUUGGAUAUUGUAUAAAAUUUAUUUUAUUGUUAAUUUUUUAUUAUUUUAAAGACAUUUGUUAAUUUUUUUAUUAUUUUAGAAGCAUUUGCUUGUUAAGUUGCAUUUAUCUUAGUGUUAUUUAAGUUUACAUAUUUUUUAAAUUUUAUUUUUAAUUUGUUGAGAAAUAUUUAUUUUGAUAUUUUUUGUAUUUUUGAUGUAUUAUAUAUAUUUAAAAAUAAUAUAAAAAAUUAAUACAGACGGGCCGGGCCGGGCCCGAGUUUUAAUACUUUUAUUCAGGUCGGACUUGAACAAAAUUUUAGGCCCGAUUCAAGCCCAAUAAAUGAACAUAAUUUUUUAAUUGAGCCCAACCUGAACCCAGUCCGGCCAGGCCCAUGAACACCUCUAGUUAGAAGAGACUCCAACGAAAGUAGAUGUUGAUCAGGCUUUGGUUUUACCACAGAGAUAGUGGUUGAACAUACAGGUGAUCUACCAGACACAUUAAUGACAGAAGUUAAAUAGGCAAAAGGACAAGAUAGUGAGUUAACUUUGUUAGCAUUGCAAGGGGGUCCCAUUCUACGGGUGAAUGAUUCUUCAAAUUAAAAUUUUUGACGCUCAAAAGUUUGAUCCAUCCUUAUUUACAAAACAUUUUAUCAAGAAAGAAUAAAUAAAAUAACAAAAAAAAUUAAAAGGAGAAAAUUAAUCUAAAAAUUAGAAAAAUCUAAAAAUAUGGAAAGUAAAGAAAAUGUUCAAGCCUCAAAAAUUCACUCCCAAAAGUUUAUAAAAUAAUAUUUAUAAUCUACUAACAUUUAGCUCAACUUUAAUAACUAUGUCCUUAAAUGAAAAGUAAAAUGAGAUUGUUUGGGCAUAAAAUUGCCCUUACAAUUUUUCUUCACACGUCAAACUUUAGUGUCGCAACAUCAUUGGAAGAGGACACAAUAUUGGGUGUUGCGACCUUAACAACAGUAGGCACAAGCUUGGUUUGGGGCACUUGGUAUCACGACACAGCCUUAUUGGUGUCGCGACUUCAAUGAUAGUGACACUGAGUUCCUUCACUUCAACCAUUGGCUUGAAAUCACAACCUCGAGCGCUUGUAAUUGAGACUUUGAAGUUCAGUAUCGCAACACAACAUAUCUAAUGUCGCAAUUGUAGUGGCAGAUUGUUCCAGGUUAAUUUUUCGUUGAAGUUUACUUCCUUAAAGUGAUGGAGGGUCGAUGUUGUGACACACAUGCACCAGUGUUGCAACCCCUACAAUAGAUGAGAUCCUCCUUAAUGUUUGGCCUUAGUCAUCUUUCUAUAGAAGCUCAAAUCAAUCAUUAGACUCACAAUGUUAUAGUUUUGUCAAUUUAGUUAUUAAAAGAGGUAAAAUAUGAUAAAUGUUAUCAUUAACACUAAAAUAUAAUAAUCAAUAAAAAAUAUUCAAAAAACUAGUAAACUACUUGAAAACAAACUUAUUAAAUACUUAAGAGAAUUUAAUUUAUCAUAUCAGAUUACAACAGAUUAAUAACAUAAUUUUCUACCUUGUUUGAUUUUUUUCAUACCAUUGUUAUUGUAGGUUAGAUAUAAAAAAUCUAUAAGAGAUUUUAAUAAUAAUUAAAUUAUGGUAUUAUGUAAAUAGUUUAAUUAGAAUUUGAUUAAAACGAUAAAAUUCAAGUUUUUUUGAAGAUUUUGGUACCAUAAAAUUCUAUUAUAUAUGAGUUUUUUUUAAUUUAAGUUUUUAUAUAUAUUUAUAUAGAAUAUAAAAAACAUCAUUAUAAUAAUACUUGUCACAAUAUUUUAAAAAAUAUAUAUUUUAAGUCAUUUUUUAAUGAGUUGGUACUCAAUUAAUUUAUGAUAUUAACUUUAUCAAAUCUUAAUAAUAGUAUAAAUAUUGAUAUUAAUAUGAUAAGGUCGAUUAAAUUUAUAAUCACAAAAUAAUAAAAUAUCAACUUGACUUUUGGGAUAAAUUUUAAAAUUAUACAUAAUUUUUAUAUUAAUUUAAAAUUCAUGAAUCACCUUAUAUACUUAACGAAAAUUCAUGUGAAAUUUUAAAAAGAGUUAAAUAUUAUUUCGGGUCUAGACUUGGCAACAACUUUCACAUUGGGGUUUAAUUAUUUUUUCAAAUUAGUCCUUAAGUUUGGUAAUUAUUCUCAUAUUGGGACGUGGACUAAAUAAUUGUUCCUACAUUAGGGAUUGGAAUUUUUUUUUUGUCUAAGUUAUUCCCUAAGCUUAAAAAUUAAUCCCACAUUGACGGUUUGAACUUUAAAGUUUUCAAAGAAAUAUUAGGCAGUACUUGUACAAAAAAGUUUAAGUCCUAAUGCAAAAACAAUUGCCAAGUUCAAAAAUUAGCUUAGACAAAGAAAAGUUCAAAACUUAGUGUAGCAACAAUUACCAAAUUCAAAAAUUAAAUUAGACAAAAAUAUAUUCAAAUUUCAAAAUGAAAAUAAUUAUUAAAUUAAGAACUCAAAAAAUAAUUUAACCCUGUUAAAAGAUAAACCCAACAACAUCAAGGUUGCCGGCAGCUUUAUAAGACGAGAACAUGAUGCUACACAUUGCUUUUUACAAAGUAAAUAUUCUAUCACUCAAAGAAUCUUGUGUCCAUUUAGUUUUUAACUUUUUUUUUUUUUGGGGGGGGGGGGGACUUAUCACAUACGAAAUGAAGAAAUUUAGGACAUCCUAGUUAAUUUAAUAGAAUUAGAGAAAUUCUUCCUAGUGUAUCAAUAUUAAAAUGAGUUGUUAUAAUAUCAUUCUCUAAUAUUUGGUAGACUCAAAAAUUGAGUCAAUUAAAUCAAAGUAUUCCCGUAUGAAAUAUGAGUUUUGUUUUUAAUGAAAAAUUUCAAUUAUUGAAAUAAUCUUCUCUCCUUCCCUGUCUUGAUAAAAAAAUAGAUAUAGUCCCUACUUUCAAUUUUUUAAAAUGAUAUAUAUUCAAAUAUAUUAUUUUUAUAAAAAUUAUAUGUUAAAUUUUGAUUUUGCCGUCUUUAUGAAAUAAAAUUAAUUCAAAUAUGUAUUUUUAAAUGACAAUGUUUUGUUAAAUAAAAAAAAUUGUAAAAUAAAACUCCAAUAAAAUUGGUGUAUAAUUUUACAAGACUAAUAUAUUUUGCAAGAUUGAAAGUUUAGAUUUUCAAAAUAAAAUAUUUUACAAAGAAUUGUUUGUAAUUUUAAAUAAUUGCAACAAAAUAAAGUACAUUUGCCAGAAAUAGAAUUAGAGUACAUGAAGGAGGAAAAAAAAACUAUAGUUAUAAUUUUAUCUUUUGAGUAAGCACAGCCUUUUUAAGUUUUAACUAAUGUAAUAAAUAUUAGGUUGGUUUUUACAGUUAAACUAGUUUUAACUAACAUGCUGACUUCAAAGUAAAUAACCCACUUAUAUUUGUUAAAUUUGCGUCUCUUAUUUUUGUUUAAUUGCAGCUACACAAUUUCACUAACAAUUAUAAAUUUAAUUUCAAUUCUAACCAGACGAAGUUACACGUAUACAAAAUUUAUUUAAAAUUUAUCCACUAUAAUCAACAAGUAUAUGAUUUAAGCGAGUGAAAAUUUUUUAUUACAUUGAAAUUUUUGACUAGUUCUUUGAUUUGAUUGUUGUAUGACAUAUCUUUAAUAAUGAAUUACUAAAAAUAUUCAAAUGUAUUUGAUAAAAAACUCAAGUCAAAAUAUCUCAAGUUAUAUUGAUUUAAUGAAACGAUUAUUAAAACUUUUAUCAAAUAUUUAUUUGGUAUGAAUUCAAACCAUGUUAUUCACGUGCCAAUUAAAUAUGAUAAAUUACAAUAACCUAUCAAAUAUUCGUUGAAUUGUAACUACCAUUCUACCAAGCGCUAUUAACAGUCAUAUCAUGUCAUACUAGCUAUCUCAAUGCUUAAAGGAAAAAAAAAAAUACCAACAAAGGGGAAAAAUUAAAAUCGUUAAAAUUUUGAAUUUUGAUCUUUAAACAACGGGCUGUUAAUAAUAGGAAUAUAUAUAUAAUAUUUAUUUUACAAUCUAUAUUUAAUAUUUAUAAUUAUCUCUUUCAAUAAUAUCAUUUUCUUUUAAAAAUAUAAUGUGCAAAAAUGAAGUUAAAACAAUUUUUUAAGGAAACCGAAUAAAAUUUUAAUUUUUUAUAAUUUAUAUUUUUAUAAUUUUAAAAAAUUUAAAUUAAAUUUUUAUAAUUUUAAAAAUUAAUAUUUAAUUUUAUCUUAAAAAAAAUUAGAUAACUUAAAUAACAAUUUUUCAUUUUAAAAAGUCAAUGCCCCUACCAACCCCUAAAUUUGCAUAUGAUAAUGUAUCUUAGCUUUUUUUCAAAAAAAAAAAAAUGUAUCUUAGCAUAGUAAGCAACCCAAUCACUUAUUGAUAACUUACGGGUACCUUUAUGGUAUUCUUGAUUCUAGGUCUUGAGUCUUAUUAUCACUUCAAAUCUACUUGAAAAAUGUGCACUAGCCAUUUUACAAAGUACCCAGUUCUAAUGGUAAGAAAUAGGUCCCCCAUCACACCAUUUUCGUAACCAUUCCUUGUCUAACAUAGGUGGGUCCAAAAAAUGUACCAUGGGAGCGAAACCCUUAUCCUCUUCUCACCUCAAUAAUUGACCUUAAAAAAAAUUAAAAGAUAAAUGGAGAUGAACCCCAAAAUUAAUUAAGUAUUAUUAAUGCUUUGAUUAAAUUAAAAUAACAUACUUAUGCACAUCAUUACACAUACCCCAUUAAUCUCUUUAUUUAUUUAUGUAAUAUAUCCGCCGCUCACGGUGGCAGCUUGAAUGACAAAGCAUCAAUAACCACCGUGGGCUAGCGCACCCUUGGCCAACAUUACUUACAAAAAGACAAGGGCUAACUAAAGCUUUAGUCAGCUCUUAAAACACCUUCUACGGUUACUCGAGACAUCAAAAUAGCAUCAAGAGACAAAGACAGACAAAAUAGAACAUUGAAAAAAGAAAAGAAAAGAGAAGACACACUAUUUACAUGCAGCCCUGGCUCACGAGAGCAGCCUGCUAGCCGCCUGUCAGUCGCCACCCUCUCAGCGAUGCUUGCUCCUGGUCUCCCCACUGUAAAGCCUGUCAUCGCAUGCAACCCAAGUGCUUUCAAUAUCUUGGUACACAGUUUAGUUUUCAUACCCAGAAAUUAGAUUCAGCCCCUUUGAUCCAGAAUCGUCGUGAAAUUGAUUAAAAAAAGUCUAUAUAUCUAAAUAUUUCUUUUGAAAUAUCUAAUCUUUGCUUAUUUUAAGCAAGUCAUCUAAUUUUCGUUUGUUAUAAAAUAAUUAAAGUUAAUAAUAAGAAACAACUAGUGUUAUACCAUAAAUGGGUAUAAGAGUGUAUACUGAUCAAAAGGAAUUAUUUCCACGCAGCGACCAAACAAAUAGCCAAGUUUUCCUUCAUGCUCUGUCUCUGAGCCUCCGUUUGGUUGCUGAGAAAACGUUAGAAAAAAAAAACAAAAAAAUAGGAAAAUCCUUGAGGCUUGUGUUCUAAAAUAUCUUGAUUUCAUUAUAUAUUUAUAUUUAGUGAUUAUCUGGUUAACCGUUGCUAUCACCCUUGCCAUGAUUAAUUAGAUUUCAUUUUCCUCAGCAACCAAAUAGAUAGAUUAGUGAAUGAUCAAAGCCCAAAAACCAAAAAACCAAGUGGCUAAAGAAGUAGCAGCCAGACAAAAUCCAUGCAUGCAUGGUACGAGGUAUACGCACCAGUCAUAGACGGUAGGAGAGUUGGGUUGUGGCUUGUCGAAAACAUCAGAACCUAUACUUUUGGUAGCUAGGUUGCUACCCGGAUGGAACACACUCCUCCACACGUUCUCCUUACGCGCCGUCGGAGUCGUCGGUGUCACGGGUGUCGGACCUGACACUGGACUAUUCGGCAGCGACAACGACCUCUGGUACUUUUUCUUUUCUCCUUCAUCUAACCAAAACAUAUUAAAUCUCAGUCAGUCACUCAACAGUCAACAAAAAAAAAAUAUCAAAUCCAUGCAUAGUAUUGAGAUUUUUACCUUUGAUGGACAAAGGCUGGGUGGUGAUCUUCCUAAGCCUGCCGAGACCACGUUCAGGUUGAGGCCCAGCUACUACAUCGUCCCACAUUUUGUCUAGCAGAACCAUUUUUUCUUUCUUUUUUUUCUCUCUCUGGUUUCUCUUUUCUGUAAUGUAAUGUUUCUUAUGGGUAUAUGGUGAUAUUAUAUAUAGGUAAAGUUUUAGCUAAAAAAUAUCUCUCCCUCUGUCUUCCUACAAGGAAAAGGGGUUUCUUUUUGCUAUUUCCAAAUUUAUAAUAGUUUGUAGGAAAUUAAAUUUAAAGGCAAUUAAUGACGAGUGAAUAUUGGCAAUAGAAGAAUGAGGAGUGGGCAUGAUAUUACGUCCAAAGGAGAUGGAUAAGGAUGAGAAGAUGACUGAGUAAAGGGAAGGGGGCCCGCAAAACAAUAUCUACUCUUUAUUUAAUUCUAAUCUGAUGAGAGUGUUCAAGAGAGUAGGUUGAUAUAUUGAUUCACAAGUGUAACAUAUACAAUUGUUUGUCCUAUUCGUUAGAUCCAUUAUCGGGGGUCCACAAAAAAAAAAUAGAAGUCAUGUGUUUGGAUUGACACCUGGGCCCCAUUCCCUUUGAUCACGCCAUUUCCUUCAUUUUUCUUUUAGUUAAAGAAUUAAGAUGCUUCACAGGGAUCUUAGGUGUAAGUUAUGCUGUAAAUAUCUCUUUUAACUCACUGGAUUAAAAUAUAAAAAUGACGAAAAAAAACUUUUCUAGAAAUCUAAAGAUAAAUCAUAUUUCUUUACUGAAGGUGAUGAUCUAACAUUUGAAUAAUGCAAGUUGAGGUGACCAAAGCUAAAGGUUUGUCUAUUGUCAAAGGGAAGUUAGGCAGUGGAAGGAUCUGGAAAAUGGACACUAAAUCUUAAGAUCAGAUUUUUUAUUAGAAUUAUUGUUUGUCUAUUUUAUGCAUGUUAAAAUCCAGCAACUAGGGGGCAACUUUUCUUAGUGGGAUGUCAAUUUUUUAGACCAAAGCAUUCUAAAAUUUAUUUUUAAAAAAUAUAAAAAAUGCCAAUAAUACAAGAGAGCCAUGGUUAAGCUUUUCAUUUGACACUCCAGUGUGAUUAGAAUUCAAACCUUAUUAAUAUAGUCCCCUCUCUCAAUUUAUAAUGUACCAAAAAAGGCAAGAUUUUUUGGGCUAAAAUUGCAAGGAAAAAAGUCCAAUAGUUCUAACAAAUGACAAUAGCUUAAUAAUAUAGCCAUACUCUUAAAAUAUACUAAAUUUAAAAAAAAAUUAAAAGUAAAAAUUUGACAAUCGGAAUUUAUUUACGUAAGAAAUUUAAGGCCCAAAAAGAAAGGAGGACGAACGCAACGUAGCCCAUAUCGUUAUUAUUCUAGGAAACUUGAAGUUGCAACUGUUUAUGCCAUUAUUUUGUUGGAUUAAUGACGCAAAUACGAGAUUGUUCUCGAUACUUGGGAAAAUAAGCAUCAAAAUCAGGCAAGUUUUUUUCGGCAAAUAUUAAAUGAACCAAUCGAACAUACCACUAAUUGAAAGCAAUGGAUACGGUUACCCUCGUUGGCAUCAGAAGCUCAUGCAAUGAUUGAAAGAUUUGUCUCCUGAUCAAAUAACAGCAAAAUAUAAUCAUUAGAUUCCACUAAAAUCUAAAAAUAAGAGAGCUGCUUCAUUGUUUUACUUCACCAGCUUCAUUGGUAAAUCCACCCAACAAAAAUAAGAAGAUCAAAUUGCCGUCGAGCCUCCAUAGUCCAUAGAUCCCCGCAAGUUUUAACCGAUGAAAAUUGAUAACGCCCCUUUCUGUCUGUUUUAUCUCAGAACUGCCAAUCCUGAAGCAAAAUGUGGAGGAUUUUCUUUAAUCACAAAAAACUAACCUAUGCGUUAUGAAGUCAGUCCUAUACUCCUAUGAUGAUGUAAUGCCGUAACAUGAUUCUAAUAAAAAAAACCAUCAGAGGAAAGGGCAAAAGCAACUGCUUAGGAAUGUCUAGUAUCAAAUCAUUGAAGGAAAGGUAUGCCUUAAGCAAAAUGAGGUAAGUGCCUCACCCCCUAUAAAUUCUGCUACAAGCAAGAUGACGGAUGUUAUCUGUAAGCACGCAAAUCUGAAAACUAGAGCUAACAGAACAAGGUCAAAAAGAUGAUCAAAUAGCAGUGAACCUACGUAAAAACUGUCAUGUAUUUUACACCAGUUUGAACCAUAAGAGACCAUAAAUAUCAACACUCCCUAUAACCAUAAACAUGAAGCUUAAGCUUCAUAUUACAACUCAUGUAGCCUGAUAGUUUUCACAAAACUGCAGGGUACUACGAAAUAAAGCCAAACUGUUUUAGAACUCGUGACUUACAUCCAUAGAAAAUGUUGAAAAGGCCAUGAGUUCAGAACAAGCCAAGGGAGUCCCAUUUAUACAAAACAUUUUAACUGAUCUUACAUAAUCCUAACAGAAAGUUUAGGUUAAACUCCUUAGGAGAUUUCCUGGCAUGCAAGCUAAGAUGAUAAACAUACUUAGAAUCAUACCAACUAUUGAUAAGCUACAUAAACUGUAAAGGAAAAAGGAAAUUAAAUAUGAAAAGAUUUCAUGAGAAAAUUCCUAAUACUGCCAUGGUUAUCAGUUUAAUAUAUUAAAAACAUCAUUGUUAGGAAUUCCCUUAGUAAAGGGCACAAAACCGUACAAAUACAUAAGCACUCUGCCUCUCAAGAUUUUCCGUAUUUCUCGAUAUAUCCCUGCAAAACAGGGGUGGGGAAAUCUCAGUUUGAUAAAUGAAUUAUAUUAAAAAGUAGACUAGUAAAUAAUAGUAAACCUAACUGAUGGAGAAAAAAAUAUCCACACUUAAAAAAUCUAAUCUUUGUUUAGAGGGAAUAUCGGGGUUGGUAGAAGUAAUAGCACACCUAUUCUAGAUCAUGCUAGUAUAUACCAUAACAACUCUCAAAUCAAAAACGCUCACCUGAACAAGCCUUGCUAUUUUUGAUUGGGAUGCUGAAAGAUACUGCUUAACUGAUUCAAAGGUAAGUGGAAUUUGAUGAGGUUGCAUGGUGCCAAUAACCUUGUUAACUGCUUUUUUGACUAUUCUAUUAUGAGCAUCUUUACUGAGAUGACCCUCACGCCAAGUUGGUUUCAAAAGUUCUUUAAUUAAAUCUACAAGAGCAGCAUGGAAAUGCCUCAUUGCUUUAGACUCUUUGAGUGCCUCCCCAUCUGCCUUAUGCUCAAUAUCUAUUUCAUUCUUUUCUCUAACUCUAUCUACUUUCAAGUCCUUUUUGCAUCUAAACCCAUCCCUUCGAUGUCUAGCAUCACGAUCAGUAUCAGUUUUGCUUGUCUUUGAAAUGUCUUUGACAUGAGAAGCAACCGAGGAAAUCUCUUCUUUAACCAGUGUUCCAUUUUGCAUGUCAGCAGCAGAGGUCCCAUCAUUUGCAUCAGUUGUUGAAUCUUUUCCAGAAGUGUGGUAAUUGUUAUUGACCAAAUUUUCAACAUAUCUACCAUGGCAAGAUGCAAUUAUUUUAUCAGCAUUACAUGCAGGGACCAGUGGCCCUGCUGAUGUAGAAUCAUCAUAUGUUGGUGGAUAUGCUACAUCCAGGAGGGAUGGACCUUGACUAGAGAAAGAAAAUUUAAGAGACCUCUCCCCUACAUUGGACAAAUCAAUGCUAUCACAAAGAGGAUCAUACUGGCGUCGAGGGGAUGAUGAGCCAAAAGUGAUAAAAAAGGAUGGUCGAAAGGGUACUGAUGGUUCCCAAUCAUCUGAAGAAAUUUUUAUUCUAUAUUCGGUGAAGUGCAAUGGAUCCUUAGCAAUAUCAGUUGCAGGAAAGUUUUCUGGUUCAAAACCAGAGAAGGGGGAAGAGCCUUGCAGCAAAGAAGAUGGAUGGGAAGUAUGGUGUUCUCUGUCAUUCUUCAACAUCUUUUGAGCAUCAACAGAGCAUGCACUUGAAGAAGAACUAAAAGGUAAUGAUGCUAGCCAUGUUGAGACACGAUAUUUUUGGUUCUCUUUAUAUGUAUUGCCCAGAGAUGUAACCGAGCCACUUAAAUAAGGUAUAUGCUUAGGAAGAAAACCAUUCCUGAAGGUAGAACUACCUCUAUCACUCAGCAGACCAGGCUUGACAUAAUUGUCCGCAGGUAAACUCUGACCUAUACUGGUUUGUCUUACAUCCUUAGAUGGCUCGGAAUCAUCUGUAGAUGCUUGAAACUGUUGAGAUCCAAGGGAAGUGCCAAUAGAUUUAUCCUUACUAUGGAUUAAAGGAGAUGAUGCUGUCCCAUUUCUAGCUGAUGAAGGCAAUCUGUCAGAAGAACCAGGUGAGUGUGGCCUUGAUUUUUCAGCAGUAUUUUGAAUACCUGAUGCAUAAAGUUCUUGUAAGAUAUCACAGUAGAGAAGGUUCUGGAUCAUCCUUAAUGCAGAAAAUUAGUUGUACCUUCAUCAAGCUGAACAGCUAUUUUCUCAUCUGCUACAGCUGCAUCUUCCUCAGAUUGUUGUCUAGGAUUAGUACCACUAUCUUUUAUGUGAAUAAAUUUACAUGAACUUCCUUUGACACACCACCCUCUAGCAAAGAAGUCACAAAUAAGUGCAGGGCGUUUGUUCUCGCUAUUAAACUCAGCACCAGGGUACAGACUUCCAGUACUAGUUUGCGGAGCAGAAGAUCUGUAAAACCUAUUUGUUAGUAAAAUAAUGGACAACUAGUCUUGGGAAGGUAGAAAUUUACUAGCAAAAAGGACACAAUAAGAAGCUUGGGUUCAAUCUACGUUACAGAAGGCAUAUAUCACUAACCUUGACUUUAUACUCCGUUUAUUAUUCUCUGUUUGCAUGCCCAUUUGCUCGCUUUUUUGCUCAAAACCAUGACUACUAACUCCGACACCUGAGUGAUAUCUGCCCAGUAUUGAAAUAACAUCAUUGAUAGCUAUCUCUUUGCCAUCAACACUUAUUAGAUUAGUAGCCUCAUACAUAAUCUCAUUGACCUUGCUUCUAGUAUGCUGUUCAUGGUGGUCUUCAUGGGCCUUUCUUUCAAAAAUGACUCGAGCAUCUUGUCCAUUAACCCCAUAUUCUUGGAUUGCCUUUUCAUUUGCAGGCCAUUUUCCAGAUAUUGGAUACUUUGAACCGUUGUAGUUUUUGCAUAGAUCCUCCCUUUGAGUUGCCCAUGGCUCAUCUGGAAGACUACAUAAGUUGAAACUAGCACUACUCUCUCCUACAUAAAGGGUUUUAGAUGGUAUUCUCAUUUCAGACCUUCCAGGAGCACUUAACGGAUCUGAUCCCAAGUGUCCACCAUGCCCCUUGGACUCCAUAAUAUUACUACCAUCUGCAUUGAAGGAAAACUCAAUCAAAAUGACAAGAAAUAACCAUCAUUUCCGGUCAGACUAUGAAAUAGCCUUUAAUUUGGACUCCAUAAUAUUACUACCAUCUGCAUUGAAGAAAAACUCAAUCAAAAUGACAAGAAAUAACCAUCAUUUCUGGUCAGACUAUGAAAUAGCCUUUAAUCAGAUCUUAUAAAAGAUGAGGUCUUUCCAUUUUGUUUUCUUAUAAUCUGGACCCUAAAAGUAGUUACCAAGCCAAAGUAAAGGAAGAUUAAAUAGGAGCACCUGCACGGCUGCUUCAUUGCAGUACUACAGGAACAAGUUAAAGAUGUAUCAAUUCACCUGAUGCUAACAUAACAAGCAUCAAGCACCUAAGAAAAAGACCUGUCAGCAGCAUUAUAUACAAGUAUUUUUUUCUUUUUUUUUGAAUAUAACAUACAAUUAUGUUAAAGCUAAAAAAAUGGGUGCCAAAUUUCUUGGAAUACUAAGGUACUUAGGCUCAGUUAAAAACAUGCAAGUCUAUAAACCUUUCUCCCCACGAUGAGAAAUUAUGCUUAUUUUAUUUCUUUUGCACCUCGAACACUACAAUCUUCUAAGGCCCAUUCAAGUUACGGCAUAAAAAUUAUAACUUUAAACAUCUUCAAAUAUUUAAUCUCCUUUCAGAAAAUUCAAAUGUCAUAAAGAUGAAACGAUGUUAUCAUCAUACAUAAAUUAUCAACGUUCCGAAUUAAGUCAAUGAAAAUUGAUUGAACGAUGUUUUAUUUUUGAAUAACCGUUUCGUUUUGAAGACACUUGCAACUCCUCUCCUCUUUCUUCCUCAUCAUCGUCGUCGAUUUCCAUAUCGGAGCUGUUGAAUUCUGGCUUGGUGGUCAACGCGGUGCGUCUUUCAUCGUCCUUAUCAGCGCGUGGAACAGCGGCGGGGGUUGACAGAGGCAUUGCAGCUGAGUGCAGUAUUUUGAACGAGGUCGUGAAUCGGAGGGGAUGGGGGUUGCGGAGCUGCGCACUCAAAAGAUUGUGAUCUUUAUUCAUUCAUCUUUUGCCGUCUGGAUGUCGAUGAUCAUCAACGGGUGAGGACCCAAGUACUUUAUUCUCCACGCGCUUCUCUUAGAGCGUGCUUAGAGGGUCAGUGAUUUGGCUCCAGCUACAGUUUGGGCCAUAAUCUUGUAUUGUGAAGGAAAGUGAGUUACCUUUUAAACAAUUUUCUACAUUUCUUUAAUAUCAAAGUAUAAGGAUAAUUUAAUCUUUUUCUAAUUAACUUUUUAGGCUUUUUUUUUUAAUUAGGUCGAUCUUGGAGAGAGUGUAAAAGCGCAUCCUUGCAAUUUUUUAAAUAUUUUGUUAGGUUUAGGAUAAAAGUUUUUAGGAAUUAGGGUUUAAGAUUUUAAAAGUGAAACUGUGAAAGUUUAUAAGUAAAUUUGAGGAAUUGGGAAUGCGAUAACACAUCUUAAAAUACAUACAUUUCAUAUGUCAUGCAAGAAUAAGACCAUUACCUCAGAAACUCAUCAUAUGAAAGUUAGGUUUUGGGGUGACCGUGCUUGAUACAAUCACGAGUCGAAGUGUAAGUGGAGGUCCCAAUCAGUGGUCGUGAUGCGGUCAUGAGUUCGAAUAUAACCGGGGGCCAGUUGACGGUAGUUAUGCAGUCACUAGUUUAAGCUUUUUGGAUACCUACAAAUGAUGAUUUAUAUAUACCAUACAUAAGAUUGAGGUCAUAUUCAUAAGGGAAAAUGAUGAGAUUUUUCAAUGUAAUUAACGUAAUUUUUUGCUCUAUUUCCAGUCAGUCAAGUAUCAUUAACAUUUUAUUUUUAUCCGAAGGCUAACAUCGAGAUGGACACAAGGGGGCUCUCAGGCGGAGAGCGGGUGUUCUGUCAAAGUAGAGGUCAAACUUGAGUCGGUAUAACAAUGGUUGUAGUUAUUAAUGAGUUGUUUAAUAACGACAAUCGUUGUCGUCCUCAAAGGAGUAUAACUUUUACUCUAAUGUCACAGCCAUUUCCCACUUGAGAGUCCUCUUGUGUCCACAGUAGUGCCGACCUUCGGAUAAGAAAUAAGGUUAAAGAUAUUAGCUGUGUGGAAAUAGAGAAAAAAAUUUACAUUGAUUGUAGCAAGAAGCCCCACAGUUUUUCCCUAUGGUUAUUCCUUCAAACUUCUGUAUGGUAUUUAUAAGGCAACAUCUCCGGGUAUCCGAAAAGUUUUAAGUUUGUGCUCGUAUAACGAAUGUUAACUGACUCUUCCGUUAUACUCUGAUCCAUGAUCUUAUAACGACUGUUGAUCGAUACCUUUACAUAGACUUCCACCCAUGACCGUAUAAAGCAAAAUCACCUUGGAAUUCGACUUCCACAGGAUAAGUUUUUGAGAUAAUAGUUUUAUUUUGGAAAGAUAUAUGAAAUGUGUUCGUCUCAAGGUGAUAUCGCAUCAUCGAUGACUUAAUAAUACCAAAAACUGAAAAUUUUAUUGGCGACGAAAAUUUUUAACACAUCGCAGGACCAACAUUUUCAUCGAAUAUCUUCAAAAUGUGCUUCAAAUCUUAUCCUGGAUUCUCGAGAUCAAGAUACUCUUUUGGCAGACUUUAGUGGAAAUGGUAAGAAAAUUCGUUCAACUGAGCGAGCUUUCUUGCUGACAUGAUAGGAAAACAGGUCUAGCUAGAUGCACUUUCCACUAUAUACAAGAAUAAAUGGAGUGAACUGCCCGAGAUGUGGUGUAGACAUCAGUGGCGCUUAUUGGGUUGAUGCCGAGGACAAACACGUUACAGCACCACUUCUGGACCUAUGCUGCUAGGGCGGUUAUUGUGGCCUCUUCUGAAUAAGUUGCCUACUCCUCACCUCCAUCAAUAGCAUAUAUGGCUUCCCGACGACUUUGAACCACGGCAUGUGCUCCAAACAGACCGCCGUGUCUAAUGAGAAAAAAAGGUUCGCGGAUGGGUAAGAAUUUCAUCCUACGAUCCCAAAUGCUGAGUAUUUCUUGUGGUAAUCUCACCAAUUUUCGUUGGUCUUCCCCCAGAGAUCGAGCUUGUGUAGUGCUUCCAUGUCUCGCAGUGGCAGCGAAAUUUUUUGCCUCCACCCGAACUGUUGCACCACUUGAUCUGAUUAUACAUUUCUAUUGUCAUGUACACUAUCAAUAGAACAUUCAUGACCCACAUACUCUGAAAGGCUAAAAAUUUCAGCGGGAUGCAUUCUAUGAUAUCCGAAUCGGUGCAUAGUAUCCAUUCAAACUGCAGUGCACAAUUGUAAAUUUUGUUAUGUACGGAAUUUUAAAUUACAAAUCAUUGUAUAAUUAUUAUAAGUUUGAAAAAAAUCAAUAACUAACCUCGAUUUUUAAGUGUUGAUCUAACAGCAAUCGAAUAUUUUCGAGCUGCUCCGGUAGUCCCACGUAACUCGACUCAUGGUUCCACUUAUUCAAGCGAUAUAUUAAUUCAAACAUAUAAUAAAUAAACAACAUUUAUUAUAUUAACUACAUAUUAUUGUCAAAUGAUUUUUACCUUGUCACAAAUGGGAACGUAUUAGGGACGUAAAAAUAAUAGUCGCCACCAUGCCCAUGACUAUAGUAGGAGCAGGCAACCAUCGAUUGGCAUCCACCUUAUGUGUACCAAUUUUGAGAUUUAUUAGGCACUAGAAUGCCUUUGAUUAGGCAUUAGAAUGCCUUUGAUUAGGCAUUAGAAUGCCUCUGAUUGGGGCGUAAAAAAGAAUCCUCGGGCGUAAUAUUCUUUGAUGACAUUGGGCACGUUUGAAGGAAGUUCUUUGAAAUUAGUUUACAAUCACUUCAUAUCUAUCCGACCACCUUGAAACUUGUUGGGCACUUUCCCCAAAAAUGCAUCUGAAAGGUCCUUUUUACCAGGAACAAUCGUUGAUCCCGAACGACUAGCCCAUCCAUCGAUAAACUGAGUCGUAAAGCUAUGUCCUCGAGUGCGAUUGUACACUUGUCGCAUGGAAGAUGGAAUGUGUGUGUCUCGAGUCUCCAUAUUUUCGUCAAUCUGCUAAUGAGUGUAGGAUCCAAUUUGUAGCCCACGAGCAUACGAGACACAUAUAAGAAUCCCGCUUCUUGCAAAUAACCAUGAAUUUUAGUGUCUGGGCUCUUUGACAAAUUAUGAAUGAACCCCUCAAAAACACGAUCAUCCACCUAUUUAUAUCGGCAAAAUAAAAUAUUUUAAUAUAUUUUAAUAAUUAAAAAACUUUAAAUUUAACUUAAUUGAAAAAAUAAAAUUUAAAAUUUCUUUUUAUCAUUAUCGCUUGAGGAGCGAAAAUGUGCUUGUCGUCGAAACGAAUUAGAAAGCUUGUCAUUCAUGAAAAAUUAAUCGAAAUGAAUAUGUGAAAUAAUUAAAUAAAACUAUGGUAUUUUUAAACAAAGUGUAUAGGAAAAUUUUGAACAAAAAUCGAGAGAAUUGAGAGUUUAGAGAAAACAGAAAGAGUUGGCUUUAAGUGAAAAGAAUAAAAAAUGACUUGGUAUUUAUAGGAAAAAAAUUACCGUUGGCCAUUUUAAAAAUUUUUACUGUUGUUAACGUUUAAAAAGCUAUUAGGGAGAAUGAUUGUUGAUAGAAAGCACGUCCAACUGGACACGUUUUCACAUACGCUCUCCAAAAAUGAUAUAUUUCCCUAAAUUUUUUUUAAAUGACUUAAAAGACUAAUUAAAAAAAAAACCUUGAUAUUGGAGUUCCCUAUCAAAAUUACUAACAAGUUUUGAAAUUCUUCAAUAUAUUUACCUAAAUAAGUAAAUUGAAUUUUAAAAUUUUGAAAACCUUGAUACAAAUAAAAUCUCUCUUACAAAACCAUCCUUCAAACACACUCUAAAAAUGUAUUAGAAUUUUUAUUAAUUUUUUCAAUAAAAAAUAUUAAUUUUUUUUGAGUUAAAUUUUGUAUUCAAAUUUUCACUAGUUUAAAUUUAGUAUUUUAUAUUUAAUAUUUAUAUUUUAAUUUGACUUAAUUUGAUAUAUAUAUAUUUAUAAAAUUAUCAAUUGAUUCAAAUAAUUAACAUUAAUAACUAUCCAAUUAAAUUAUAAAUGCGAUUUUUUAGAAGCAUUUUUUUCUUUUCACCUUAAUAUGUUGAUUAAGUCUUAAAUCAUUUGAUACGGUUGUUAUUGUAAUAGUUAAAAAAUAUGAGUUUAAAUAUAUUUAAAUAUAUUUUUCUCAUUUUAAAUAUUAAAGAACAACUUUUUGUCUCCAAGUCAUUUGUUUAUUAUCUUUUGUUUUGUUUUGUGGCAAACCUGUUUUUAAAUUAUCAAGCUCCAAAUAUUUCGCUAUGAGCUCUGAUUAUGAGUUAUUAAAAGGUAAAGUGAUGAAUAAAAAUUCACAAUUUUGGGGGCUGUUCUUAAAGGACCCAAUAAAUUAUUAAUUGGAAUUAGAUGAUCUUUUUUAAUUGAUUGUUUUAUCACAUUGUGAUAUUUUACAUCGUUGAAUAGGCCCAUGAAAAAACAAUUAGAUGAUGACAAAAUUAUCAAAAAUUGAGAUUCCUUAUUUCUGUUCAAGAGCGUAUGAAUAGUUCCAUGAUUUUGGCUUAACGAUUGUUGAAUCCUUGCAUUGGAAUAAAUAGAAUAAAAUGGAUUUUUAUUGGUACGACCUGACCUAUUAUCAGAA
rnacentral:lncRNA from 1 species